GACGAACGCUGGCGGCGUGCCUAAUACAUGCAAGUCGAGCGGACCGAAGGGAGCUUGCUCCUUUAGGUUAGCGGCGGACGGGUGAGUAACACGUGGGCAACCUGCCCUGCAGACUGGGAUAACUUCGGGAAACCGGAGCUAAUACCGGAUAACACCGAAAACCGCAUGGUUUUCGGUUGAAAGGCGGCUUUUAGCUGUCACUGCAGGAUGGGCCCGCGGCGCAUUAGCUAGUUGGUGAGGUAACGGCUCACCAAGGCGACGAUGCGUAGCCGACCUGAGAGGGUGACCGGCCACACUGGGACUGAGACACGGCCCAGACUCCUACGGGAGGCAGCAGUAGGGAAUCUUCCGCAAUGGACGAAAGUCUGACGGAGCAACGCCGCGUGAGCGAAGAAGGUCUUCGGAUCGUAAAGCUCUGUUGUCAGGGAAGAACAAGUACCGUUCGAACAGGGCGGUACCUUGACGGUACCUGACGAGGAAGCCACGGCUAACUACGUGCCAGCAGCCGCGGUAAUACGUAGGUGGCAAGCGUUGUCCGGAAUUAUUGGGCGUAAAGCGCGCGCAGGCGGUUCCUUAAGUCUGAUGUGAAAUCUCGCGGCU
rnacentral:rRNA from 1 species